GUUUGACCUCGGAUCAGGUAGGGAUACCCGCUGAACUUAAGCAUAUCAAUAAGCGGAGGAAAAGAAACCAACAGGGAUUGCCUCAGUAACGGCGAGUGAAGCGGCAACAGCUCAAAUUUGAAAUCUGGCCUCUUUGGGGUCCGAGUUGUAAUUUGUAGAGGGUGUUUCGGGCGCGAUGCCGGUCUAAGUUCCUUGGAACAGGACGUCGCAGAGGGUGAGAAUCCCGUACGCGACCGGCGAUCAAGCCUGUGUGAAGCCCCUUCGACGAGUCGAGUUGUUUGGGAAUGCAGCUCAAAAUGGGUGGUAAAUUUCAUCUAAAGCUAAAUAUUGGCCAGAGACCGAUAGCGGACAAGUAGAGUGAUCGAAAGAUGAAAAGCACUUUGGAAAGAGAGUCAAACAGUACGUGAAAUUGUUGAAAGGGAAGCGCUUGCAAUCAGACCGGUCCGGAGGCGAUCAGCCGUCUGCUCGUUCAGCGGUGCACUCGCCUGCGAUCCGGCCAGCAUCGGUUUGGGCGGUGGGAUAAAAGUCCCGGGAAUGUAGCUUCUCUCGGGGAGUCUUAUAGCCCGGGUCGCAAUGCCGCCCGCCCGGACCGAGGACCGCGCUUCGGCUAGGAUGCUGGCGUAAUGGUUGCAAGCGACCCGUCUUGAAACACGGACCAAGGAGUCUAACAUCUAUGCGAGUGUUUGGGUGUCAAACCCAGGCGCGGAAUGAAAGUGAACGGAGGUGGGAACCCGUCAGACGGCGCACCAUCGACCGAUCCAGAUGUCUUCGGAUGGAUUUGAGUACGAGCAUAGCUGUUGGGACCCGAAAGAUGGUGAACUAUGCCCGGAUAGGGUGAAGCCAGAGGAAACUCUGGUGGAGGCUCGCAGCGGUUCUGACGUGCAAAUCGAUCGUCAAAUCUAGGCAUAGGGGCGAAAGACCAAUCGAACC
rnacentral:rRNA from 1 species